GGAGCAUGUGGUUAAUUCGAUGCAAACGCGAAGAACUUACCUAGCUUGACAUCCCUGGAAUUUGUGGAAACACAAAAGUGCCUUUCGGGGAACCAGGAGACAGGUGCUGCAUGGCUGUCGUCAGCUCGUGUCGUGAGAUGUUGGGUUAAGUCCCGCAACGAGCGCAACCCUUAUCUUUAAUUGCCAGCAUUCAGUUGGGCACUUUAAAGAGACUGCCGGUGUUAAACCGGAGGAAGGUGGGGAUGACGUCAAGUCCUCAUGGCCUUUAUGCUUAGGGCUACACACGUGCUACAAUGGGUGGUACAAAGAGAAGCCAACUCGCGAGAGCGCGCCAAUCUCAAAAAGCCAUCCUCAGUUCGGAUUGGAGUCUGCAACUCGACUCCAUGAAGUUGGAAUCGCUAGUAAUCGCGGAUCAGCAUGCCGCGGUCGAAUACGUUCCCGGGCCUU
rnacentral:rRNA from 1 species